AUUAGGCUACUAUACUAUCUAUAGUACGGGAGCUCCCGUACUAUAGUGUAGUUUUCGAUCUUCGGGCAUUCAAAUCAACGAUCCACACUGUUAAAACUGAUUUAAGGUAUUUAAAGUUUUUAGAAAUAAAUUUUUAUAUUUUUUCGACAUCGUUUACUUAGUAAAUAAAUUAUGUCAAAAUGGACGGUGGGAAUUGAAUACUCUUUAAAUUUUGAGUAUAGGACUUUUAAAUUUAAGAUCAAGAAUGUUAACCUUAAUCUAUAUAGUUUAAAGUAUUUUCUAUCAAAAUUUGAAGAAAUUUAGAUUCUUCUAUACCGUUAAACUCCCGAUUCGUCAUAAUAGCCAUUGAAAAUUGACAAAUUUGAAAUGUUUUGAUCAUAAAGUAAACUAUGUCGAAAAAAUAUAAAAAUUUAUUUCUAAAAACUUUAAAUAUCCUAGAUCAGUUUUAACGGUGUGGAUCGUUGAUUUGAACGCCCGAAGAUCGAAAACGACACUAUAGUACGGGAGCUCCCGUACUAUAGAUAGUAUAGUAGCCGGACUCCAUAUAUAUCUAUAAACUUAAAUGAAAGCACAAUAUUUCUUGCCACGUGGCAAGUCAUUUUUCAUCCCUUCAUCCUCAUAAAUAAAUAAAUAAAUGAAACUAAUUCCUCUAUCUAAAUAUCAAAUUAACAACCCUUAGUCACAUUAAAUAUCAAAUUCUUUACUCUUGGACUUUUAUCUUAUGAAACCAACCCUUCGCCUUCCCUUCACAUAUAACGUCUAAUUUAACCCUAUCUAAAUGUACCGUAAAUCUAGAAACUCAUCCAAAAGGUCCAAUCUUUUGCCUUCCCUCCGCAUAUAACGUCUAAUUAAUGUAUCCAUUCAUUUUAACCCUAAUAUAAUCGUAAAUCAAAAAAACCCACGCAAAAGCCUCAUUCUCUCCUAUGCAUGUCAUGAAAAUAAAAGCUUAUUUUAUUUCUUAUAAUAAAUUACAACCUCCUUCAUUUAGCAAGAGGUGUGGGAACUAUUUACUUUUUUUUAAAAAAAAUUCCUAAUUUUGAUGUAUUAUCCUCUUUUCAUUUAGUCUGAGGCGUGGGCGAUGCUUCAGGUCAUAGCGAUGGCGGAGGUGGUGAAUGUGAUGGCAUUGGAGACUAAGACGGCUGCGGAAGAAAGCGUGGGCAAUGACAGUGGAGAUCGAGACGGCAGUAAAAGCAAUGGCAAGACUCGCCCUCUUAGAGACCAAUAUUAAGUGAGAGUUUCUCUAUCUUUUCUUUGUUUUCUCUCUCUUCUUAUUUUCUAUUUUUUUAAUCUAUUUUUAACCUAUUUUACAGUAUUUUUUGAAAUUAUUUGAUAGUUUCUAUUUAAGAUGAGUUGGAUUGGAUUAAAAAUCUAAUACUCUGAUAAUACCCAUCCGCCGCAUCGCGCGGGUAACUACACUAGUAUAUAGUAUUUGUAAAUUAUCUUGCAUAUUAUUGUGAGUUAUUUUUUUAGUCAUAUCAACUGCAAUAUGGCAUUUUAUUUGAUUAUUGUGUUAUAAAAAUAAUUUUAAACAUCCAUUUGCAUGAUAUGUGGCCUUUUUUGAACAAGAUUGAAUAAUUUUAUUGGAACAAUUGAUUCUUUUUCAUUAUAGUUUUAUUUUUUUAAAAAGUGUUUGUUUAUAAUAUAGACUAUAUUCAUUAUUUUUUGUACUAAAUUGAUAUUUUAUUAUUUAUAAAUUUUUAUUCUAACAGUAUCUACUCAUCGUAACACGCGGGUUAGUACACUAGUUAUACAACCAACGGUGGUUUCUUCUUUUAAAAAAGAAACUUUUCAAUUUAAAU
rnacentral:lncRNA from 1 species